ACACUGAUGGUGAAACGGUAUCAUGCUUGCCUUCCAUACAAUCAUGUCGUAUCCUCUUAGCAAGCGGCGCGGGUUCGACUCCCGCUCAGUGUA